UACGAAGGGUGCAAGCGUUAAUCGGAAUUACUGGGCGUAAAGCGCGCGUAGGUGGUUCGUUAAGUUGAAUGUGAAAGCCCCGGGCUCAACCUGGGAACUGCAUCCAAAACUGGCGAGCUAGAGUAUGGCAGAGGGUGGUGGAAUUUCCUGUGUAGCGGUGAAAGGCGUAGAUAUAGGAAGGAACACCAGUGGCGAAGGCGACCACCUGGGCUAAUACUGACACGGAGGUGAGAAAGCGGGGGGAGCACACAGGAGGAGAUACCAGCGUAGUCC
rnacentral:rRNA from 1 species